GACGAACGCUGGCGGCGUGCUUAACACAUGCAAGUCGAACGAUGAACCCGGAGCUUGCUCCGGUGGAUUAGUGGCGAACGGGUGAGUAACACGUGAGUAACCUGCCCUUGACUUUGGGAUAACUGCGGGAAACUGUAGCUAAUACCGGAUACGACCCUAGGCGGCAUCGCCAGGGGGUGGGAAGAAUUUCGGUCAAGGAUGGACUCGCGGCCUAUAAGCUAGUUGGUGAGGUAACGGCUCACCAAGGCGACGACGGGUAGCCGGCCUGAGAGGGUGACCGGCCACACUGGGACUGAGACACGGCCCAGACUCCUACGGGAGGCAGCAGUGGGGAAUAUUGCACAAUGGGCGCAAGCCUGAUGCAGCAACGCCGCGUGAGGGAUGACGGCCUUCGGGUUGUAAACCUCUUUUAGUAGGGAAGAAGCGAAAGUGACGGUACCUGCAGAAAAAGCACCGGCUAACUACGUGCCAGCCGCCGCAGUAA
rnacentral:rRNA from 1 species